CUCAUUCUCUGCAACCAUAUCACCGAAAUCCUUUUUCCUUGGGAUUUUUCACCGUCCACAAUUAAUUUUAUUUUUAUUAUUAUUGAUUAUUGUAUCCUAUGCAUUAGGCCACAGUGUAUGUUGCAACUCAGUGCUCAGUGCUUAAUCCAUCAGAUUGAGAAGCAUCUCCCAAAACCCCAAAUUGUUAGAAUCAAAUUUCUUUAACGCUGUUAAGCACAAAGCAGGAACGAUGCUGUUGAAUCUUCUUUUCACUUGCGUAUGAGCGCUGAUCCUUUCUUCUUCCAUCAGUCUUUAUUAUUUGCAUUUGCAUGCAGCUAUUGCUAUUCAAUAUCUCUCAUCUCUUUCCAUUUAUCAUCUUUUGGGUCUGCAUACCAUGAUGAGCUCUUCCGGGUCUGAAUCCUGCUGUGCAGAUGUCAAAAUUUUUGCUGUUAUUCUUGAUUUGGAUGGGACCCUUCUGGACACAGAGAGUGCUACAAAGGGUGUUCUCAAAGAAUUUUUGGCCAAGUAUGGGAAAGAAUUGGACAGGGAAAGGGAAGAUAAGAAGAGGUUGGGGAUGACUUUGCAAGUGUCAGCAGCUGCCAUUGUUAAAGACUAUGACCUCCCAUUGACACCCAAUCAGUUUAUCGAUGAAAUCAUGCCUAUGUAUCGUGACAAGUGGCUGCAUGCCAGACCCCUGCCUGGUGCUAAUCGUCUUAUCAAACAUCUACAUAAAAAUGGAGUGCCUUUUGCUCUUGCUUCGAACUCCUUAAGAGAAUACAUAGAUGCAAAAAUCUCUCACCAAGAAGGUUGGAAUGAGUGCUUUUCAACAAUUCUUGGAAGUGACCAGGUCAAAUCAGGGAAGCCCUCCCCAGAUUUAUUCAUAGAGGCUGCAAGAAGAAUGGGUGUAGAUGCUGCAAAAUGCCUGGUGAUUGAAGACUCUUUGUAAGUUCUUCCAGACAAUGCUCAUAUUAAGUAAAGUAACAAUAAAAAAAUAAUAAAUAAUAAAAAAAAACACAGCCUAACACUUCAUCAUGAGUUAAAUUAGUGAGCAUUGUUAAUAAUUUAAUGGUUGAGGACUUGUGUAAUAUCUUAGAUACAUCAGUUUUGGCUUAUUCAAUUAUGAAUUUUAAGCAUGUUAAUUGUUAUUAUUGCCAGGUGUUUCUUAAGAACCUGAGUUAAAUGUUCAAUGAUGUAGUAUAUCAGAUUGGCAUUCUUGUCUCAUGGUUUCAAGUCAAUUUGUAGGCAGCAUAUUAGAUUAAAAAAAGAGUGAAUUUUAUUGGUGAUUUUUGCUUUUACGUAAAUUUUCGGUAUCUUGACUUGUUAUACUAUUCACAGAAUUAGAUUUUGCAGGUGUGCUUCCUAAAAUUGUAUGAGAAUGUUUUGCAAAUACAUUGUUAUUUUACUUGUUAGGUGGUAUCUAUAACAACCCACCACAUUGGUAUUGUAUUGGAAAAUCCUUGAUAUAUUUGUUAGGGCCCAUGGAUUCAAAAGCAACUAUGCUCAUUAUUUUACUUACAAGGUGAUCCUGUACUGGCAUCAGAGGUGAUUCUGGUUAAUAUUAUGUGUGGUAGGUGGUUGUUCAAGUGAUCCUAUCUUUGGCUUGUAAGGGUAAAAAAUUGUUGCUUUGUAAUUUUGUGUGCUCAUAGCAAGGAUGCUAAGGCCUAGACAGAGAGUUUGUUAUUGCCCACAUUCCACAUCAAUAGGGCCUCUUACUGAAUUAGUUGGACAUGUUUUCUAAUAAUGGCUUGCAUAAGUUAACUGUUAUUUAAUAGAUUUUGGAAACUCCGUUACCAUUAUGCCUAUAUAUAAUGGGCAAAAAUCCAGAAAAAGGACUGUUAUAUCAUGUUAAUGGUCAAUGCUAAAUUAAAAAGGGCUCUUUUUGGCGGUCUUUUCCAGCUUUUUUCCCCAGAAUCCCCACUUCUCCAGACACAUUUCUUAUGUCUUUCUAAGCCUUGUUCAACCAAAAUCCCUCAAAAGUUAGAACUCUUGUUACAUGAAUUUUAGCUGGAUUUCACUUUGUAACCAGGCAAAAUUUAAAGGGAGUAUAUUUAGGCUUUUUUGCACUUCCCUUUGAAGAGGUGAGUCAAUUUUGACUUUGUUGUUGCUUUUGCAAGUUUGUUGUAGAAACCUUUGGUUUGUGCGAUAAUUAUGACUCUUUUUGGCAGUGAUAAGAUUAGAUCUUUAAUUUCCAUUAUGUUUUGAGAUAAUUGCUGAAAUUGAUUGAUAAUAAUAAUACAAAUUAUGGAUUCAAUGUCUUAAUUUUAUGUAUCUACGCUCAUUAGUUAAUUGUUUUUCUUCAUUUAUUUUUCCUUGAAUAUCUAUUUGUUUAAUGCAUUUUGCAAUUUUUACAAAAA
rnacentral:misc_RNA from 1 species